rnacentral:rRNA from 1 species
GAGGUAACACGUGAGCAACCUGCCUCUCAGAGUGGAAUAACAGUUGGAAACGGCUGCUAAUACCACAUAACGUUUUUGUGCCGCAUGACACUUCAACCAAAGAUUUAUCGCUGAGAGAUGGGCUCGCGUCCGAUUAGGUAGAUGGUGGGGUAACGGCCUACCAUGCCGACGAUCGGUAGCCGGACUGAGAGGUUGAUCGGCCACAUUGGGACUGAGACACGGCCCAGACUCCUACGGGAGGCAGCAGUGGGGGAUAUUGCACAAUGGGCGCAAGCCUGAUGCAGCAACGCCGCGUGCGGGAAGACGGCCUUCGGGUUGUAAACCGCUGUCCUUGGGGAAGAAACAAAUGACGGUACCCAAGAAGGAAGCCACGGCUAACUACGUGCCAGCCGCAGC